rnacentral:rRNA from 1 species
UACGUAGGGUGCGAGCGUUGCCCGGAAUUAUUGGGCGUAAAGAGCUCGUAGGCGGCUUGUCGCGUCGGAUGUGAAAGCCCGGGGCUUAACUCCGGGUCUGCAUUCGAUACGGGCAGGCUAGAGUUCGGUAGGGGAGAUCGGAAUUCCUGGUGUAGCGGUGAAAUGCGCAGAUAUCAGGAGGAACACCGGUGGCGAAGGCGGAUCUCUGGGCCGAUACUGACGCUGAGGAGCGAAAGCGUGGGGAGCGAACAGG